rnacentral:lncRNA from 1 species
AAUGAAAUGGUGCUGUAUCUCAAUUGCCUUGAAGGCAGUGCCUCACUCAAAAUACCUUCUCAGUAAGAGGAUGUAGGGUGCAAUUCAUCUUCAGAUCUCAGGUCAGAAUGAUUUGCGGACAAACAUGUCAUGUUGACUCCCUGUGACUGACCAUCAUGGGCAUUGACUUCUGGGCUUUGGAACAGCUGCUGCUUCCGUAGACUGUUGAGGCAUAAAAACCUCUUGGAAUAGGACUCAGAAGAUGUUUCUGUUUUUUUCAAUAAGCACGUGAAAUUCCCAGAUUGGGAUUGGAGCUAUGGAAUUUGUAUUUCUGUCAUAAUGUGUGGUCUCACCUGGGCGUACUCUACCCUUUUCCCUACACCAAAUGUGCAUAGCACAGUUGGGUCUGACUUGCCCAAGCUACCUCCUAAAAGUCAAGGUUGUCAGACACCAAGUGAUGUAUGAGCUCCAACAGCACUGCUCUGCAGUUGGUGACCUGCCUGCUCAGGGAGUUCAGGUCCACGGUUGGAUUAACAUCUCAUUCCUUCUGUAUGUCUGGAUAUCUGGAAUUGCCUUGACAUGUUGAAAGAAAUGCCAUCAAGCUUCUUUUACGUAUUUUGGAUGUGCUUUAAUUCUUAGUAUACUUCAGCUUCAUACCUGUUCUGUAAUAAUACAUCACAUUUGAAAUCACAGUGACAGUGGAUUAUCCAACUUCUGUGGAGUCAAAAUCAGAUGCAGCAUCUCUUGUACGUAGCGAAUUCAGGAUCACUCAGUGCAUAUGCUUCCUCCCUCCCUGACUAUUUUACUACCCUUGCAUAGUUGGUCUUCAUACAGGCGUUAACAGAGAACCAUUCAUAAUGUCAAAUGCUUAAAAUUUCCAAUCUCAGUAAGAAAGUUGCCAUCUUGUAGUCUUCCUGUUUGCUGGGACUUGCUCCUUUAAGGCAAAGAUGAAGCUUGAUGUAGCUUGUGUAGAGAAGUUUCCCAAAUUUCCAGAGAACCAACCGAAGGCUUUUAAUAGCUGCCUUCUUGUACUUGUGCUUACCUCACCUCUGCUCCGCAGGCAGUGCAUCUUCUCAUUGUGUCCUAGCCCUGAGGCUCUGACACAGAGCUGCCUCUAGCUUCACACCAUACCGGGCAGUGCGGCAGCCCUUCUAGCUGGCUCCUGCCAGCAAGGCCUGAAAUUGCCACUGCCCUCACAUUCGGCCUUUUGAUGGUUUCUUACUGAGCUCUAACAGAAACAACAAAUCUCCUUAUUUUGUUGCUAAGUCCAUGGUGUUUAAAUUGCACUGACUCUUUGGUCAGAGUUCAGCGCAGCAAACUGUAGGGAAUGGUUUUUGACUGAGAUGGAGCUUAGGAGAUGUAUUAUUUAUUGCAUUCAAUUUUGAAAUGUGGCAAGUGCUAUAAAAUGUUUUUUCCCCAGCUAACUCAAAGCUAUGAAGGAUAGAGAGCCUGCUUCAUUUCAAAUACCUUGCCUUGCCUGUUCUUGGUGGAACUGAAAAUAUGUUUAGAGGGUUAUUUUUUGGUUGUUAUUUUCCCAUGUAUUUGAUAACCCAUUAGAAGUCUUGGUCAGUUUCAAGAAGUAACUGGAAGAGAGUCACAAAAUGCUGCUCGUGUCAUUAGACAUUCUUACUUUAUAUAAAAAAUACUUCAUAUGAAUAAAAAGCUGAAUUUCUUUUAAAAUUUUAAGAUA